UGGAUGUUGCAACAGAUGUCAAAAUAACGUAAUCUUUAGACGACAUAUCAGCCACGAAGUUGUGUAAACUGGUACCCAAUCCUUUAUCUAGUUUGCUCUAUCCGUUGAUGUAAUGGGAGAGGACAAGCUUAAGUGGUAUAGUUGAACAAGAAGGUACUCUAAAUAAAGCACCAAUAUAUCACUUUACGUCAGCAAAAUGGAAAUUGAUCAUAAUAAUAGAGAAUCUAUAGUACGAACUGGAAAAAGGUCAAAUAGGGACUUACACUGUGACGAUAUUAAAAGAAAAUGGACGAGAUUUUUCGUUGUAAUCUUAUAUCUGUGUACCGUUUCAUUAAGUACCUUAGUAUUAUCAGUAUAUUAUUAUAUAUUCUGGACUCCAAUUCCAAAGAUAUUUGAUAUAAGUUUGACUGAAAACGAGGUUGGGGCUGCUCUAUCGGAUGGAGGUCUCCUUGUUGUGAACAGAAAAGGCUGAGGAAUGAAACUUCCAAGGAAGAACCAUAGACAGAUCAAAGACAUAGAAGAGGUGUGUUUUAAAUCCAAACACUUAAUUAUGGAUAACAUAGGCAAUGAUAGACACCAUCAAUAUAUGUAUAAUGACCAGUGGGACAUAUCUUGGAACAGACAUUUGUAUAUAUAUAGCAAGGUGACAUUAUCUUAAAAAAGACUUUUGUAUAUUUCAUUAGAUGACAUCUUGGAAAGGAUAUUUGUAUAUUUAAUUAUGUGACCAUAUCUCGAAAAAGACUUGUAUAUUUCAUCAGGUAAAGAUAUCUUUAAAAGGACAUUUGUAUAUUUAAUUAUGUGACGAUAUCUAGAAAAAGACUUGUAUAUUUUAUUAGAUGAUAUCUUGGAAAGGAUAUUUGUAUAUUUAAUUAUGUGACGAUAUCUAGAAAAAGACUUGUAUAUUUCAUUAGAUGAAGUUAUCUUAAAAGGACAUUUGUAAAUAUAUUACCAGGUGACAAUAUCUUGAAAAAGACUUUAGUAUAUUUCAUUAGAUGACAUUAUCUUGGAAAGGAUAUUUGUAUAUUUCACUACAUGUGUAGGUGACAAUAUAUUGGAAAGGAUAUUUGUAUAUUUCACUACAUGUGUAGGUGACAAUAUAUUGAAAAGGAUAUUUGUAUAUUUCACUACAUGUGUAGGUGACGAUAUAUUGGAAAGAAUGUUUGUAUAUUUCAUUCUAAGAGAGGAUAUCUUUGAAAGGACAUUUGUUUAUAUACUUCACAGUGACAAUAUCUUUGAAAGGACAGAACAAACAUGUUGUUUUUUUCAAAGAUAAAAAAUAAUAAAACAAGAAGAAACUAUCAGUUGUAUUUUAUUACAAAUGAUAAAAUAUAUCCAAAGAUAUGAUGUGACCCGAUGAUAGGGAAUGCAAUAUACCAUCUGUCCAGUAUAAAA